rnacentral:rRNA from 1 species
UACGAAGGGUGCAAGCGUUAUCCGGAUUCAUUGGGUUUAAAGGGUGCGUAGGUGGGGCGAUAAGUCAGUGGUGAAAUCCUGCGGCUUAACCGUAGAAUUGCCAUUGAUACUGUCGCUCUUGAGUACGCUUGACGUGGGCGGAAUGUGCCGUGUAGUGGUGAAAUGCGUAGAUAUCGGGAGGAACACCAGUGGCGAAGGCGACUUCCUGGCCUGUUCUUGACGCUGAGGAACGAAAGCUAGGGGAGCAAACAGG